rnacentral:tRNA from 1 species
GCCAGUGUGGUGUAGUGGUUUGAGUGUUGGACUACGACUCUGAAGACCAGGGUUCAAAUCUCUGCUCAGCCA